rnacentral:rRNA from 1 species
AGCGAACGCUGGCGGCAGGCCUAACACAUGCAAGUCGAACGAAGUCUUCGGACUUAGUGGCGGACGGGUGAGUAGCACGUGGGAACGUACCUUUUGGUUCGGAACAACUCAGGGAAACUUGAGCUAAUACCGGAUGAGCCCUUAGGGGGAAAGAUUUAUCGCCGAAAGAGCGGCCCGCGUUAGAUUAGCUAGUUGGUGAGGUAAAGGCUCACCAAGGCUACGAUCUAUAGCUGGUCUGAGAGGAUGAUCAGCCACACUGGGACUGGGACACGGACCAGACUCCUACGGGAGGCAGCAGUGGGGAAUCUUGCGCAAUGGGCGAAAGCCUGACGCAGCCAUGCCGCGUGAAUGAUGAAGGUCUUAGGAUUGUAAAAUUCUUUUACCAGGGACGAUAAUGACGGUACCUGGAGAAAAAGCCCCGGCUAACUUCGUGCCAGCAGCCGCGGUAAGAC